UACGGAGGGUGCGAGCGUUGUCCGGAAUCACUGGGCGUAAAGGGCGCGUAGGCGGCAUGCCAAGCGUGUGGUGAAAGUCCAGGGCUCAACCCUGGGAUGCCGGUCGAUACUGCCGGACUAGAGUUCGGAAGAGGCGAGUGGAAUUCCCGGUGUAGCGGUGAAAUGCGCAGAUAUCGGGAGGAACACCUAUGGCGAAGGCAGCUCGCUGGGACGUUACUGACGCUGAGACGCGAAAGCGUGGGGAGCAAACAGG
rnacentral:rRNA from 1 species